CUUUCUUAUAUUCUGAUGUCCCUGAUUAUGCGUGGAAGAAACUAAGCCCCGCCAGAUCUUGGAUUUACAAAAAUACCGUGGGACGUUUAGUUCGUGAUGCUACGAAACCAAGUAGGAAUAGAAGAGAUGUUCAGAGGAGUUCAUGUCAACAGAUGGAAAAUUUAACAGCGCCAUUACAAAGGGUCGUAGAAAUUCAAACCCCUAUUCAACGCGAAACCAGUGUUUAAAAGAAACAACAACAAAAUUUAUGUUUUUUCCGUCAGAUUACAUGUCACAGAUUAUCGAUUUUAUUGUUUUCUGGCAGAUAUUGUUCUCUUAUUGUAUAGAGCUUUUUGCAUCCCUCGAACUUUUUUCCUGAUUCUAACUUUAAGUUAGAGCAUAUAUGCAAAAUUAUAAAGUUCUACGGAUUGAAUCAAAUGUAAUAGAUAGAUAAAAUUGGAAGACUUUGUCCUCGGAUCACUGCUCGUUGCUUGGAAAAAAGAAUUGAUGA